rnacentral:lncRNA from 1 species
UUAAAUGAGAUGAUUCUGUAUAUAUAUAAGUAUACUUUGUUCUUUCUUUUUAGAUUGUUUAAACAUCAUCAAAUCAUUUCUAUCAUCUAGUUAGAAUGAAGAAACACUUUCGAUUCUCGUUAAUCGUUUUAACUAUUUUCAUAGUUUUCGUGUUAAGUAUAUAUCUAUAUUUAAAAUAGGUUUAACGUAUUACAAAUAAUAUUUUUUACGAAUAUCAUGUUAUAUUUACCUUUUAAUAUCAAGUCAGAUCUAUAAUGUCAGAAUAUCAAUAUUUUUGAUACGAAUGUAAUACUAUAUUUUACAGUUUAAAUCUGUUACUAAAAUUGUAUGUUAAUUAUGAUUACAGGAGUGGUGGGAAACAAGAAGCAACCACGAUGGGAUCCCAACACACGAUAUUGUCAGGAGACUCUUGAGUAAAGAGGAAACUUGUAAUAUCCAAGAAUGUGGCGUGGUGUGUGUGCUGAAGAGGCAGGGGCAGGCUCGUUGCUAUGGUGAUUCCAAAGCUGGUUACGAGUGUCUUUGUCUGUAUCCUUGUUCUAAAUAAUUACAAUAAAACUCAGAUCAAAUAAAUGACAAAGAAAUAAAAAGUAGAGUAAUAUAUAUAUAUAUAUUUUUACUGGGUUUAUAGUUUAUGAUUUGUAUUAUGCCAC